rnacentral:rRNA from 1 species
CCUACGGGAGGCAGCAGUCGGGAAUAUUGCGCAAUGGAGGAAACUCUGACGCAGUAACGCCGCGUGCAGGAAGAAGGUUUUCGGAUUGUAAACUGCUUUAGACAGGGAAGAAUAAAGUCAGUACCUGUAGAAUAUGCUCCCGGUAACUACGUGACAGCACCCGCGGUAAUACGUAGGGAGCACGCGUUAUCCGGAUUAUUUGGGUGUAAAGGGUGCGUAGACGGAGAAGUACGUAAGUGGUGAAAUCCCCCGGCUUAACUGAGGAACUGCAACUAAAACUACUAGCCUUGAGUACUGGAGAGGUAAGUGGAAUUCCUAGUGUAGCGGUGAAAUGCGUAGAUAUUAGGAGGAACACCAGUGGCGAAGGCGACUUUCUGGACAGUAACUGACGUUGAGGCACGAAAGUGUGGGGAGCAAACAGGAUUAGAUACCCGUGUAGUC